GAAGUGGAGCUGAGACAGACACAACUGGUCUAGCUGUGAAGGCAUUUGCUUACGAUGCUUCACUCGUUUCCUGGCUGUAUUAUUAGGUGCUACAGUAGCAAUUGUUAUUAUGCUUCAGUACAGAAGAGGAAGAGACUCAGCAUCUCCACCAGCUCCACCGGACCACUGACACCUCCAGCACCGGCGUCUCCACACCAACUGUGUCCUCACUCAAACUGCACUGGAAUCAGAAGAGGGAAUUCUGAGUGAGAGCAAUUGGUGGCAUCAUGGAUCAAAUGAUUAAUGUCCUUAGUGAUAUUAGUAAAACAAUAAAUGCACUUGUGAAUAAGUGAAUUCUGUCUUUGCUGUUGUGUCUGCAUUUGACUGCCUGUUUGUGUCUUUGGUUCAGGGUUUUGUUUUAUCCUGUUUCUGUGUUUUCACUUAUAUGGUUAUGGUGUGUCUUCUUAUUUCUGUGAUCGGCUCCCUAUCUGUGCCUUGUUGUUAAACGUCAUUGCGUUCUGUCCACAUUCCUUCCGUGGGUUGUCUCUGGGUUGUUAUCUUGGUUGGUGUCAGUAGUCCUUGUGGUUGAUCCUUGUCUGUCUGGUUUCUUCUGUCCUUGUCUCUUUUGUCAUUUGUCUCCUUGAUGUCUCAUGUGGCUUUCCCCCAUUCACACUUUAUCCAUUUUUGAGUUCCACGUUAGUUUUCUGCCUUUUGUUGAUGGAUUUAGUUGUAGUUUGUUUACUGCUUGAUUCCUUAUUUCGCUCUUCUUCAUGUCUGUUACAUCCGCCAAGGAAGUAAUAAAAUCCUCAGCAUUUAUUUCUUUAUGGCUGUCUGCCUGCCUGUUAGUAGGAUUACGUCAAAACUACUGCACAAAUUUUGAUGAUAUUUUCACCACA